UAGAUUCAAGUUCGAGUCUUCAUUCUCUCAAUCCUACUAAAAAAAAUAAUAUCAUUAAAUUACAAAAAAUGAUAUAAUUCUAUGAUUACAAAUGAUGAUUUUAAAUAGAUGCAAAUGAAACGGCAUAACCCAUAGGAAAGACGCUAGGAACAUAGAAUAGGUAAGACCACUUGCCAUUUUUUUCAUUCACUAUUUUUCUUAUUCUUAUUGGCUCUUCCACCAUUUAUGACAAAAUUAUACAUCUUUAAUUAUUUUUUCAUUUCUUUUUCCUUCAUUGUUUUUAAGGAUUAAAAGGUCUGUUAAAUUUUAUAUUAGAGUAUAAUACCAUAGAAAGUCUCGAGUGGUUUGUUGUAUUUGAGAGUAGAACAUCUUCUCUAUUUACACCAAAACAGCGUUGAAAUUUUAUUCCAAGUUACUUUAUAA
rnacentral:misc_RNA from 1 species